AUACUUACCUGCCUGGGUAGACCCCAUAAUUAAGAAGGUGAUUUUCUUAGAAUGAAGCUUAUCCAUUACCCUACAUAUGUGCUGAACCUGUGAUUUCCACCAGUGAUGGCAACUUAACUGCAUAAUUUGUGGUAGUAAAGUGCCAUAAUCAUGCUCUCCUCUU
ensembl:snRNA U1 U1 spliceosomal RNA